CUCGGGCAGAAGGAUGCAUUUCCUUGGAUUUUUCAAGGUCUCACCCAUCAGCCUUUCCCUGGGAAUGAUCGAUUCUGCGUCUCUGUGUAUACAGUGGAGCUCUGUGACUGCAGAAGGAGCGUCCAGCACCAGCCACAAGCGUGUCUCACAACAGCCUCCCCCGCCCUCGGAGGAGAUCCUGGAGGCGGCCGCGGCCGCGCCCGAAGCCCGUCAGCUCACUGCACCGAGCAAGAACGGAGCUGUUCAUUCUGAUCUUACAGGAAAAGGACCUCCUUUCCACACAUUUUAAAAAGUACUUCUCUGUACUUGGCCACUAGUCGGCAACCACAAAGUGAGCUUCAAUCUCAGACAGGAGGGUCCUAUGCCCACCCAAGCCUUUUUAUAGCUUGACAGUAACAAACAAAGGAAAACAAAGCAGCAAGGCUUAUCAGUUAUGCUGAGAGCAAGCAGCACCCAAGCCGGCACAAGCGGGAGCGUUUGCGGUCAGUGACCCGAGCUGCUGGUAAGAGAGGGACAUUUUGUACCAGCACGUGCUGAGCUCAGCCCAGCUCAGCCCUCUCACUUGCUCUGAGGACAGUCUGGCCAGAGAGGGAACCCCCGUGCUCCGUGGGUGCCGCCUCACGGGAAAUGCGCUGCGGCUUGAAACCGAGGAAGAAGCUUGGGCAAACGUUUCUGGCUCAUGAACGUGCUUGUCAAAGCUCUGCGCAGCGCGAGAGAGGGAGGACGCGUCCUUGCCGGGGGCCCAACUUCCCUUCCCUUCUCGAAAGCCCCGCGUGUUCCCUUUCUGAUCACCAGCGAACUGCCGCAUGGCCUCGGUGCCUCUUUCUUCUCUGAACUUCCUCUCCUCUUCCUUACACUGUCUGCUCCCUAAGAACCAUGCCCGCCCCCCGCCCCCAGCUCCGGGUGCAGCCGUGAGCAUCCUCCGUCCUGCCCCUUUACCGUGGGCCCGGGGUGGAGCUGCCGGUUCCCUCGCAGGUGCUUGGACGCUGCUUUGAGGUGGGUAGCUAGCUUUCAGCCUCUUGGGAAAGCCUUUGAUCCCCAUCCCAUUCCCUCUUCAAAUCCCAUCUCACUCCCUCCCUGAUUCCCAUCCCAUUCGUCUCCAUCACCCUCCCUCCUUUCCAGUGGCAGCAGGCACCCUGCCUUACAUUAUAAUCCAAAUGGGGCCACCUAAGGGCUCCGGCUGGUGGUGGGAAGGGAAGGGAAGGGACAAGGGAAGGACGAGUUGGGGUCAAUAAAUAAUAUGCAUUAGUGUAGCAGGGAAGGACAAACCUGACUCUGUGUUAGACCUGCCCCUUUGGCUCUGACCCUGGGCUCUGUCUCCUGGGCUCAGUCGUGCUGGUUCCACACCUUUUGUAAAAGACUGUUGUCUAUGGCCUGAAAUAGACAGGAGAGCCCGUUCUCAAGGCUCUGACCUUUAAGGGUGUAACACUUCCCCAGUCAUAUAAAGAUAAAAAGUUGCAGCAGAGAAUAGCACUUGUUGCUGGAGGUUUACAGGGACACCAUGACCCGACCCACGGGGACGGCUGCAAGAUCAAAGGAUUCUGACACCAAGAAUUGUGCAACAACCAAACACACCCCCGCCCUUUCUUUAGUAUAAAAGGAGCCUGAAUUCUGACUUGGGUAAGAUGGUCUCUAGGACAUUAGUCCCCCAUCUUCUCGGUCUGCUGGCUUUCCAAAUAAAGUCAUUGUUCUUCGCCCCAACACCUCAUCUCCCGAUUUACUGGCCUGUCGUGCGGCAAGCGGAACGAGUUUGGACUCGGUAACACUAUGACUCCCGCUAUUGAUAGCAGAGUGGCUGGUUGUACCAAGUAAUGAUAACAAAGCUACUCACCAUUGCCCCAGAGCCGUGUCUGCUUAGGGAGAAGACGCCACUCCUUCCCUUGUUCCCAGUCGGUCUGGCCCACACGAGUCCUUGAACCAAGAUGAAGGUGGUGCAGGACGCCGUCGGGCAUCCCAUUCGCACGAGCAGCACUUCAGGACAGCUCUGAGGCCAGCCCCCACCUCGACAGGGGGCCGAUCACGCCGCUGUCCUGGCCGCCUCCUGCUCCCAAACCAGAAAGUUGGAUGCGUGCUCAAUACCCACCCAGCAGAAGGAUCGCCACCUCUCAGUGGAUGAAAUCAGCCCCAUGCGAAGCGAAGGGAGUUAACGUGAUGGGCUUGGAUGAACUGGAACUGACUUCCUAGUCACGUUACUAGGGGGAUAUGCGUAAUCAGCUGAGACCGGACACUGUUGGGUUCUGUCCUAAAGCUCCCAAUAAAUCCCGUUCACAUUUCCCGCCAUGAGCGCUGAGUCAUCUGAGAAGUAAGUCAGAGGAGUCAGCAUUUGGAGGCCAAAGCAUCACAGGGACUGCUGAUAAAGCUGGCCCUGAGGAAGUGAUGUAGGCCCGCCGUCCAGUGGGCCCACUCCUUAGCUGACUUAAAGAGGCAGUGUCGUGCUGGCCAGGGCAGACACACACCAAGACAGUCGACGCAGACAGGAUGACCUGCAGUCACCAAAACGGACAGAACAACUCAGCAAAUGACACAAACAGAAAAAAGCUUGACCUCAGCGAACUCUGAGAUGGUUCCGAAUUGGUUAAUUAAAUGAUCUCCAAGAUGACCCUGUGCCCAAGACAGAACAUAUAUUCUUGGACCUAUUUUUCUUAUACCAAUUAUGUUCACUUCCAUCAUUCCAUACAGUUUGGCAGGGGUCCUUAAUAAGAUAAAACAGAAAAUUUAACUGCCCAAAUAAUUUGAAAAAAAUCUAGAGACGCCCCAAAUUAAGGAAACGUUUUUCUCUGAUUGUCAAGUCCCCAAGGAGAAAUUAAAUCCUCCGGUAACUUCAAAUCCAAAGACCAAAGGAAGUGAAGACCAAAAGCAAAUUAUCUCGCCCUUGAAAGUUAAAAGUCUAAAGACACGAGCGACCCCCUCGGUCCUCACUCGGCUUAGUAUCCGCACCACGGCUUCUCGGCACUGGGACGGCACUCGGCCUUCUGCAACCUGGGCUGUCUUUGGCAGGAGUUGACGUGGAAGCUCCAAGACCUCAGAGUUUGAAUCUCCCUAGUGCCAAAGCUGUGAGGUGGCUCUGCUGUUAAAGAGGACAAGAGGGAAUGAGAUGUACAAGGUGACCAAGGACCUGGAGUCACACACCCCACACUCAUCACGCAGCUGGCGCCCCCCAGCAUGAUGAUGGGGAGAAAGAGGACAGUGCCCCUCUCCUGCUCCACCUCACCCCCGUUUUCCCCUGCUCGAUCUCUGGGCAUCCUGGGGCAGGCCCUGCACGCAGACAGGCUGUCUAUGCGGAGCAGUGUGAGGCUGGGGUCUCCGCAUUGUCCCAGAUGACCUACCUCACGCCUCGGCCUGGCUGCAUGCGGAGUCAAGACAGGUACACUGCCCGAAGCUGUCUCCGCCCUCCCACAAAGAAGACUGACAGUUCGGCAUCCUUAUCAGUCCUGCUCAGUGGCUGCGGGUUGUGGGUGAUGCUUGGUGGGGAAGCUGGCAGGUCGUUCAGAGGAGCCAUAGAGAAAUGGCUCCCAUCUUGUUCCUUCUAGGAGCACUCAGGAGCAGGAGCAGGAGCAGGGGAGCCCUUUGUCAGAUGUGCCCUUUGAGUAUCUUCCAAGAGUCAGCACAGUGAACAGUGGCAGGGAGUGACACGGAGGUGAAGCAGGCCCAGUCUCAAACAUCAGGCCCCGUUCACCAUCUGCGGGGCCGGGGACCACCCACACUCUCCACGCCGUAUUCUCUUCCCUGUGUCAGGGGAAGGGGGGCAUUAACUCUGCAGAGUGAUGAAAGCUUUUGUGACAAUUCAGUGAAAUGAACAAGGUCUUCUGCACGCACGGAUCAUCCUGCUGCAGCUCCCUGUUCACACACGUGUGGCCUCUGCCCCCCCCGGCUCUCAGCAGAGCUCUCCUCCGAGCGCCUCCCUGGUCACUCCAGCUGUAAAUUCUUCAAGCAGCCUGGGAAUUCUCCACAACCUGAGCCCCACUGACCCCAGGACCACACGGAACUGACCACAACUCCUGUAGACUCCUCAGGACUGACGGAUUCUGUGCAAUGCCUUUGCAGGGCUGGAUAGAGCGGCAAACAGGACAACCACUGUGACACUGUGGUUUCUAGCAAGGAAUAUAUACUCUUGUCUUCAUCUCUGUUUCUGGCACAGAGCUUCUAGAACUCUUGGAAUUUCCUAAGUGAUGAAAGCAUAGAAAUGUCUUCUGUGUUACAUUAAUGAGGUUAUGUUUUGGACUGCAGCUCAGGACUGGGACCAUUCACCAGAAGAACCUGGUAAGAGGGUUGGGACUUUCAGUUCCACCCCUUGAUCUCUGACCUCUGGGGAAGGGAGAGGGGCUGGAGGUCGGAUCAACUGCCAAUGGCCAAUGGCUUAAACAAUCACACCAUAAAACCCCAAAAGGAGCAGGUUUGGAGAGCUUCUGGGCUGGUGAACACAUGGAGAUUUGGGGAGUGUGGUGCCCUCAGAGGGAACACGGAUGCUCCCUCACCCUUUUCCCAUUCCCCACCCUACCCACCUCUUCCAUCUGGUCAUCCUUGAGUUGCAUCCUUUUAUAAUAAAAUCAGUAAUCUAGUAAGUAGAA